AUUCAAACUCAGAGAGAAAGCGCCUGUUCAUUGAUUCCCCAAUCGCUCUUCGGUGUCUUGAGUCUUUUGACGGAAAGUGCUCGACAUCGCCGGCCGAAAUACGACAAUGGCGACCACUUCGGAUGUUUCUAAUCGGCUACGACUACACAGUUAGCAGAAUUGAAUUGGAAUGCUAAAGACAAUGCCACUUGGUCAGAACAAAUUGGUAUCAGAGCCAAAGGUGAAGGAGAUCCAAGAAACACAAUAAGUCUAAACAUGUGUUGCAACGGGCUUCAAUUUUAGGUGGAGUCAAUCAGCUUGGUUACAUGGGAUGGAGCUCGAGUAGUCAAGGUGGAGCCUUGGAGGUUUGACUGAUCGAGCAGCGUAGAGUGUGGAUAAUCGGAGUUUUCCAGGAGGUUUGUCAAGAUUGAAGCUACAAAAGAAUUGUCCUCAUCAAUGCCGUGGAAACAAUGAUCGACUAGAUGUAAUUUGAGACAAGGUGGUGAUUAUUGGAAUUUGUGUCUCAAAUUCCUAUUCUAAUUAUGUUUCUAUUUUAGAGUUGUAUUCUGUUUGUUAAUUUCUUGUUUGGCAAGUCUUGGCCUCUAAGAAAUUGUAAUCCUUGUCCAAAAAGGAAUUGAGUUUGGAACUCUAUAAAUAAAUACGUAGGCUUUGGGUUGAGAA